rnacentral:piRNA from 3 species
UGGAGCCGGGCGUGGAAUGCGAGUGU